AAGAGGAGGAAUAAGCCUGUCGCUAAGAGAGAAGUGUCAAGAGUUCUGGGAUGAGGGUUAAAAAAUGGCCGAUCGUUAAAAUGUUUUCGACAAUUUACGACUUUGAAGAAAGCCACAACCAGCAGCCUUGGAGUAUUGCCUUGCAUUCAAAAAACUUCCAGAAGCGGGAUUUUGUGAAUACAUGGGAUGUUUACGAUAUCGUGUAGAAUGUUUAUGCAUUGUUGGCAAAGAUACUCGACGAUAUUAGGUGAAAAAUAAUGGUCAUGUCUGCUGAUUCCACGAUAUUCGUGGAUGAAAAUUCUCUUUGUUUUUCUCUGAAAGUUAUUCAAUUGUGGCACCACCAACCUCCUCUUUGAAUUUGUUACGUUCAAGCACUAGCUGAGGAUGAAAAAAGAGCUACGGCAUCCCAACACUCUCAUGUGAUUGCUAGAUUUGAGCUUCAGGAUGUUGUCUUCGCUUUGCCCGUGCAGCUGAAUGUGAACGAAAUUUCAGCCAAUUCUAGCCUCGAUCAUUGCUAGCACAAGGGGUCUGGAAAGCCUGAUGAUGUUAGGAAUUCAUGACGGAGAGAAUAAUCAGGAUAUGGAUACUGUAGUUAACAGGCUCAAAAAAGCCAGUUUUUAUAAAUUCAACUUUGUGCAUGGUCACAAGAGCAAAAUAGUUCAGCAGUCUCCUGUCGGGAUCUUAGCCGUCUGUCGUGGAAUUCCUGGCGCCACCUGUCAUUUAGCUUCAAACUCCGUUGACGUCCGGCGGCCGUGCUUCGCGAGGUAUUUCACUUAUUAACUUGUAGGAGUAAUGAAAAUUUUUAUGACU